rnacentral:lncRNA from 1 species
AAUAGCAGCUCUCCUUGUAUUGGUCAAAAGUCAUCAAACUGAGCAGUUAUACCCAGCAUACUAUGGAAUGCUCAUUCCGUUAAAUAAGAGGAGAACACACAGCAAUCAAGAGCGUUAAAGAAAAAUCCAACGUGGCCAAGCGGGGAUUGGAACCCAGGUCUCUUGUGUAGAAUCUGGGGCUCAAGGGCACUCUGCCUGCUUGCCUCACAGAGUCCCUCUGUCAUCAGCCGCCACACUGACUACCUCUGCCUGCCAGCCCUGGGUCCUUUCCAAGAAAAGACAAAGCUGCAAACAAGCAGUAAUGACAUUGAUUAUUCCAAGCCAGAGGCAGGGGAUUUUGGAUCAUUUCCUUAAAAUGCUUGCUCAGCAACACUGAGGUCCUCACCCCAACCACCCUUAGUCCCAGGAAAUAAAUGUACAGUACGCCAUUGACGUGAAGCAGGGAAAA